rnacentral:lncRNA from 1 species
UCAUUAAAGACAUAUAAGCCAAACAAUUGAUUGCAUGACAUGAAGGCUUAUAUAAUUCCAAAUGAAAGGGGGAGCUUUAACUCCAAAAUUUAUUGUUUCACACCUUUCAAGUUUGGAUAAAUUAAAUAACCAGACACUUGAAUUCAUUUCAAAAAUUUUAUCAUAAAUUUCCUUGUUUGUUGUGCAAUUCACUGUACAUAUACUCAAUGUUUUGUCAUCAUCAAAAAGGGAGAGAUUGUGGAGUGAUUGAUCAUAACCCUAUUUGAUUUUG